rnacentral:misc_RNA from 1 species
AAUGGUCAUGUACUUAAUCAAAAUCGAAAAUUAUGACAAAAGUUAAAUAACAACAUUUAAAAGAUAUUUUCUAUUUCAGGAACUGACAUUGGCUAAAGUGGAAGCCACCUGUGUAAAACGUAGAACGGUAGCCAUAAGACAGCAUAAUUAAAAAUGGCGAUGAAGAUUUAGAAGGUUAAUUUGAAAGGCUAGCAAAAGAUGGGUGUUCUGAUUGAAUAAGGUGGAAGGGGCAAGGAGGAAUCAGGUCGUGGAGUUCCUGUGCACACACUCCGAAGUGUACCCGAUAAAAAACCGACAGGGCGGCCACCCUACGCCGAUGAUCCAAGCUUUGCAGCUUUGCAGCGACCAGAGUAUCACCGGCCUCUUGGCUCACCUCUCGAUUGACUCGAGAAGCUCCAGCUGGUGCUUGGCAGAACCAUCCAAAAGAUGAGAGCAGUACUCCAUGCAUGAGCGAACUUGAGCUUGCUAUAAAUUUAAAAGCUGAUCCGGAGUGAAGUACUGUCUCACCUUCAAGAGGACGCCCAGUUUUUUGGCAGCUGUUCAUAUAAAACAAAUUCAGGAGAUUGAUGAAUAAUGAUAAAGUCACUGACCUCUUAUAAGAGCCGCUUCAGACGCACCGCCAUCUUUAUCUUGGCCUGAUACCAGUCUCAUCUCAAUUUAAAACACUUCGAAGAAGACAACGGGAAGAAUGAAUGGAAAACGGGACUGCCCGAUACAAAGUGGUUUUGAGCGGUUUGAACUAUCCUAUCUACUGAGGAAUGAAGAGUCACUUUACUAACUUU